CGGGCGGGAACGCUGGGAGCGGAAGGGCGGGCUCCCACUGGGGGAAGAGGCCCGCGUCCGGCCGGAAACUGAACCGGUGCAGCGGCAGCGUUCCGCCUGAGGCUCGGCGGGAGAGUGGAGGGCGGCGGCGGCUGUGGCGAUGGGGGCGGUGGGCCUAGGGUUGGUGGACUGUCACUGCCACCUCUCGGCCCCGGACUUUGACAGCGAUCUGGAUGAUGUGUUGGAGAAAGCCAAGAAGGCCAAUGUUAUGGCUCUUGUGGUGGUUGCUGAACAUUCAGGAGAAUUUGAAAAGAUAAUGCAGCUUUCAGAAAGGUAUAAGGGGUUUGUCCUGCCGUGCUUGGGUGUUCACCCUGUUCAAGGAGUUUCACCAGGAGAUCAAAGAAGUGUCACAUUAAAGGAUUUGGAUGUAGCUUUGCCCAUUAUGGAGAAUUAUAAAGAUCAGUUGUUGGCAAUUGGAGAGGUGGGACUAGAUUUCUCCCCCAGAUUUGCUGGCACUGAUGAGCAGAAAGAAGAGCAACGACAAGUCCUAAUCCGACAGGUCCAGUUAGCCAAAAGAUUAAAUUUGCCUUUAAAUGUUCACUCACGCUCUGCUGGAAGACCCACCAUCAGCCUCUUGAAUGAGCAAGGUGCUGACAAAGUGCUCCUGCAUGCAUUUGAUGGCCGGCCAUCUGUAGCGAUGGAAGGAGUAAGAGCUGGGUACUUCUUCUCAAUUCCUCCUUCUAUCAUAAGAAGUGGACAGAAACAGAAACUUGUGAAACAGUUGCCUUUAACUUCAAUUUGCUUAGAAACAGAUUCACCUGCACUAGGACCAGAAAAACAGGCCUCCUGGAGAUUUUAUCCAAUAACCUUCGAUUAUUCUGCAACAACAAAUGUGCCAUGGGAAACUCUAGGUUUGUGAGCCAUCGCCCAAGGGCACAGCUACUGGUCUCGAGAGGAAUGAGGUAAGAUUUACCAUUACUUCUGGAAAAAUACAUUCUAUGUCCCAGUAUUUAUUCAGUCAUCAAAUGAAUAUUUUCUGAGUGCCUAAUUAAUGCCAGACACCAUUCUAGGAACGGAGUGGAUAAAGCAGUGAAAAAACAGACACCAUCAAGGAGCGUUAGGGAGUGACAAACACUGUAGCCAGGUAUUGUGUUACAGGAUGGGUGUCUCCAACUCAGGAGAAAGGGCAGGGCCAGAAAUAGAAAUGUGCAGGAUAGAGAUGAGAUUUUCAAGUUCUCUAACAGUUGAAGACCAGCAAUCUGUCUCACUGAGAUCACCUGAAAACUAAGUAUAGAUGAUGAGAAGUGGGCCAUCUUACAGAAAAAGGAUGUGAUUUUACAGUUAAUGAUGUUUAUCAUUCAACUCAAUACAUAUUUGUUGAUGGUUUUACUAGAGUAAUAUGUUCAUCAAAUUUUAUAAGUAAUGUCCCGUCUCCUUAUUUUUACAAAUGAGGAUUUUUUUUUCUGGCCUCCUCGGGGAGGAGGUAUUCUCUCAUAUCUGUUCUCAGUCUAGUGUGGUGGGGCUGAACUUUUGGUUUGGAAUGUGGUAAGUUCUCUUUUGGGCUGAGUUUAACUUUCACUGAUUUUAAGCCAAUUGCCCAGUAUAGAUAGUUUUCCAGUGACAAAGUGACAAAGCCAAUUUUUACCUCCAUCCGUCUCUCAAUUGAUAUAAACUGAGGAAUAGAAGGAUAUUAUUGUUUUUUCAAGCCUCUACAGUAUUCAGAAUAAAGUAGACACUCAAAAAAAUGUCAGCACCCUUCUCUAUACCCACAUACUUUCUACUUGUGGGGAAAAAAAAAAAAAAGCCCCCAGUAUCUCUUAUUUAUCUAAAGUUGAAACCAGAGACCUUAAGUUUCAAGUAGAGAUUAAUGGGGAAACAAUUCUAAUGAGCUUUUUUUUUUUUUUUUUCUAAUGAGCUUUUGAGAAUACACAGUACUGGGUCAAUAAUUACCUACCAUUUGUUCAAACAGGUGGUUCUCAAGCUUUUUGGUCUCAAGAUCCAUUAUAUUCUUAAAAAUUAUUAAAAACCCUAUCAAAGUUUUGUUCAUGUGUGUUGUACCUCUCAAUAUUUACCACAUUAGAAAUUUAAAUGGAGAAAAAAUUUAAAGCUCAAGAAUACAAGUCAACAUUCCAUUUAAUGGUCAGAAAAAUGAUGUGACUGCAUAUCAUACUGCUUCUGGAAAACUCUGUUGUACUCCCAUGAGAGUAUAAAAGGGGCUGAAAUCAAAUUGGGACAUGACUAAAGGAAAAGAAAAGAAAACAAGGAGCAGUGGCUGAGUAUUUGAUAAUUCGAUGUUUGGGGUCACUUUAUAGAACAUACCUACUGCAAUAACAAGAAUCAACUGCGUAUAUAUAGAAAAUAUACUACUGUUUCUACAGGCACCCGACUUGCCAUGGGGAAAGGCUUCAACCCAUCUGGAAAAAUAUACAAACAGUAACAGGAAGAUAUCGAUUACCCCUACGAAGUGGCAGUUGAAUGAAGUCCAGCUAUAGGUGUUCAGAGGGUCCAAAGGGAAG